CUAUACAUGCAGUCGAACGCUUCUUUUUCCACCGGAGCUUGCUCCACCGGAAAAAGAGGAGUGGCGAACGGGUGAGUAACACGUGGGUAACCUGCCCAUCAGAAGGGGAUAACACUUGGAAACAGGUGCUAAUACCGUAUAACAAUCGAAACCGCAUGGUUUUGAUUUGAAAGGCGCUUUCGGGUGUCGCUGAUGGAUGGACCCGCGGUGCAUUAGCUAGUUGGUGAGGUAACGGCUCACCAAGGCCACGAUGCAUAGCCGACCUGAGAGGGUGAUCGGCCACAUUGGGACUGAGACACGGCCCAAACUCCUACGGGAGGCAGCAGUAGGGAAUCUUCGGCAAUGGACGAAAGUCUGACCGAGCAACGCCGCGUGAGUGAAGAAGGUUUUCGGAUCGUAAAACUCUCUUGUUAGAGAAGAACAAGGAUGAGAGUAACUGUUCAUCCCUUGACGGUAUCUAACCAGAAAGCCACGGCUAACUACGUGCCAGCAGCCGCGGUAAUACGUAGGUGGCAAGCGUUGUCCGGAUUUAUUGGGCGUAAAGCGAGCGCAGGCGGUUUCUUAAGUCUGAUGUGAAAGCCCCCGGCUCAACCGGGGAGGGUCAUUGGAAACUGGGAGACUUGAGUGCAGAAGAGGAGAGUGGAAUUCCAUGUGUAGCGGUGAAAUGCGUAGAUAUAUGGAGGAACACCAGUGGCGAAGGCGGCUCUCUGGUCUGUAACUGACGCUGAGGCUCGAAAGCGUGGGGGAGCAAACAGGAUUAGAAUUA
rnacentral:rRNA from 1 species